CACAUCACAUUGAAACACUGGUUCUCAUAAAAUCACUGAAGUUAAGCAACAUCAAGCCUGAUCAGUAUCUAAAUGGGCAACUGUUUGGGAAUACCAGGUGCUGUAA